rnacentral:piRNA from 1 species
UAACUAAAGACUGAGCAAAAUCAUUGUCC